rnacentral:rRNA from 1 species
AGAGUUUGAUCCUGGCUCAGGAUGAACGCUAGCGACAGGCCUAACACAUGCAAGUCGAGGGGCAGCACAUGAGUAGCAAUACGAUGGUGGCGACCGGCGCACGGGUGAGUAACACGUAUGCAACCUGCCUGUAAGAGGGGAAUAACCCGGAGAAAUUCGGACUAAUACCGCAUAAUACCACGAGACUGCAUGGUUUUGUGGUUAAACAUUUAUGGCUUACAGAUGGGCAUGCGUAUGAUUAGAUAGUUGGUAGGGUAACGGCCUACCAAGUCAACGAUCAUUAGGGGUUCUGAGAGGAAGGUCCCCCACAUUGGAACUGAGACACGGUCCAAACUCCUACGGGAGGCAGCAGUGAGGAAUAUUGGUCAAUGGGCGAGAGCCUGAACCAGCCAAGUAGCGUGAAGGAUGACUGCCCUAUGGGUUGUAAACUUCUUUUAUAAAGGAAUAAAGUCGGGUAUGGAUACCCGUUUGCAUGUACUUUAUGAAUAAGGAUCGGCUAACUCCGUGCCAGCAGCCGCGGUAAUACGGAGGAUCCGAGCGUUAUCCGGAUUUAUUGGGUUUAAAGGGAGCGUAGAUGGAUGUUUAAGUCAGUUGUGAAAGUUUGCGGCUCAACCGUAAAAUUGCAGUUGAUACUGGAUAUCUUGAGUGCAGUUGAGGCAGGCGGAAUUCGUGGUGUAGCGGUGAAAUGCUUAGAUAUCACGAAGAACUCCGAUUGCGAAGGCAGCCUGCUAAGCUGCAACUGACAUUGAGGCUCGAAAGUGUGGGUAUCAAACAGGAUUAGAUACCCUGGUAGUCCACACAGUAAACGAUGAAUACUCGCUGUUUGCGAUAUACGGUAAGCGGCCAAGCGAAAGCGUUAAGUAUUCCACCUGGGGAGUACGCCGGCAACGGUGAAACUCAAAGGAAUUGACGGGGGCCCGCACAAGCGGAGGAACAUGUGGUUUAA